UAGGGAAAAAGAAUCAGCAUUGAGCAUUACAAAAUGCCCAGCAUUCUGUAAGUUCUUUCAUUUCAUUUAGUUUACAUUUCUGUGUAUAUUCCCUUUUACAUUCUGAAGUUGCAUAAGAAUAGCUACUAUUUAAGCCAAAAGAAGUGCAAUAAGUCACAAAAAAAUCAGUGGUUAUUUAUUAGGCAUCUUUACUCACUUGACAGUCAAAGCUUAUCAAACACCUACUCUCCAUAAACCCAUUUCUAAAACCCAGGUAUACAAGAAGGAAUAAAAUAUAAGCCCCUACUCUCAAGAAGCUUACAGUCAGUCCUGUGUAAAAGACAGAAACCUAAGGAGAUAAUUAGAAUGUAGUGUAGUGGGAAAUAUGGAUGUAUUCAAGGCAGGAUGGACCACCAGAGCAAAGCACCUCACUGGGCCCAGGAAUAGAAGGGAGGGUGUCAGGACAGGUUGCUGGUGGAAAAGGCAACUGAGUUGAGCCAUUCAAGUGUAAAGUUAACCAAAUAAGGAAUGGGAAGAGGAGGAUAUGUGGGUUUCACACUGACAUGAUUGCUAAAAAUAAUGGCAUGGACUCAAAAAAUGAUAUGCAGGAAAUUGCAAAAAGUCUGGAACUUCUGGGGCAUUAGGCAUCUAUCACUCAGAUAUGAUGAAAGAAGAGCAUAGAGAAGUAGGAGGCAAAUGUAAGGGCAUCUGGGCUUUAUUCUGUGAUUGGAGAAAAACCCUGGAAGGCAUGGAAGCAGAGGACACUGGGCUUGUGCAUGUGUGUUUGCUAAUUGACUUGACCACGGUGAGGGUAAGAGGGCUCAAGACUACCUGGGGCAGAAGAUCAGGGAGGAGGCUGUGGUUGAGAGUGAAGCAGAAGGUUGAAGUCCAGACCCCCAGGACCUCAAAAUGUGACUGUUCGGAAGAUAGAGCAUUUAAAGGGGCAACUACCUCUUAUGAAAUGAAGUCAUGUGUGUGGGCCACAAUCCACUGUGACUAAUGUUCUUAUAAGAAGAGGCGAUGAUAACAUAGAGACAUGCGGAGAGAAAACCACGUAAAGAUACAGGGAGAAGAUGACCAUCUACAAGCCAAGCAGAAUGGCCUCAGAAGAAACUGACCCUGCCCACACCUUGACCUCAGGCUUUGAGCUCCCAGAUUGUGAGAAAAUAACUUUCUCUUGUUUAAGCCUGCCAUUCUAUGGUACUCUGUUAUAGCAGCCCUAACAAAUUAAUACACCUACUCCAUGAAACUCCACAAAAGCUGGGUUAUUAAUAGCCUACCUCUAACAACAAAUGUUGUGGAGUGCUUUGCUUCUAUACAAAUAUAUAUAUAUCAAAAUUUUCCCAUAAUUCACAUAUCUUCAUUUUAAAAAACAGCUCUGAAAAGUCUCUCUGACUUAAAACACUGUAGCUAUUACUUCAUUUUUUAAGCUUCAAAAUAAUGACAUUUAAUUUAAAUUUUUCAGUGAUUAACUCCAGCAUUUCAUCUAAUUUGCCUAAAUUAUUUUCGUCUUGUGUGUCUUACAUAUUGAGACCUUGGGAAUUGUGAACUUAUGAAAAUUCCAUGUAAAUAUCCAGAGUUGUGGUUGGUGUGAACUCUUGAA